UGGGGAAUUUUGGACAAUGGGCGAAAGCCUGAUCCAGCAAUGCCGCGUGUGUGAAGAAGGCCUUCGGGUUGUAAAGCACUUUUGUCCGGAAAGAAAUCCUUGGCUCUAAUACAGUCGGGGGUGACGGUACCGGAAGAAUAAGCACCGGCUAACUACGUGCCAGCAGCCGCGGUAAUACGUAGGGUGCAAGCGUUAAUCGGAAUUACUGGGCGUAAAGCGUGCGCAGGCGGUUUGCUAAGACCGAUGUGAAAUCCCCGGGCUCAACCUGGGAACUGCAUUGGUGACUGGCAGGCUAGAGUAUGGCAGAGGGGGGUAGAAUUCCACGUGUAGCAGUGAAAUGCGUAGAGAUGUGGAGGAAUACCGAUGGCGAAGGCAGCCCCCUGGCAAGUACUGACGCUCAUGCACGAAAGCGUGGGGAGCAAACAGGAUUAGAUACCCUGGUAGUCCACGCCCUAAACGAUGUCAACUAGUUGUUGGGGGAUUCAUUUCCUUAGUAACGUAGCUAACGCGUGAAGUUGACCGCCUGGGGAGUACGGUCGCAAGAUUAAAACUCAAAGGAAUUGACGGGGUCAUAGCUGUUUCCU
rnacentral:rRNA from 1 species